rnacentral:rRNA from 1 species
GACGGAGGAUGCAAGUGUUAUCCGGAAUCACUGGGCGUAAAGCGUCUGUAGGUGGUUUAAUAAGUCAACUGUUGAAUCUUGAGGCUCAACCUCAAAAUCGCAGUCGAAACUAUUAGGCUAGAGUAUAGUAGGGGUAAAGGGAAUUUCCAGUGGAGCGGUGAAAUGCGUAGAGAUUGGAAAGAACACCGAUGGCGAAGGCACUUUACUGGGCUAUUACUAACACUCAGAGACGAAAGCUAGGGUAGCAAAUGGG